GAUAAUAUAUCAGCUCGUUUCAACCAACUAAUGUUUUACGUAAAUUGAAUUUUGGCGAAUAAAAUACAGUGCAUGUUCGGUUCUGUGUUGGCAUGCCGUACUCAAAAAUGAAUUUCAAACACUAGGUAGAUAACUUCUUAAAAAAUAAUUAGGCAGCCGCUAAGUAAAAUAAAAGAAACACGGACCAAUUAAUGCUAACGACAAACAUAAUUGGCUUGUCGCGUGUAAAGUAUGUUUU